GCCUGAUUAGCAUACGCUGGCCCAUGCACCUGUCUAGUAAACAGGAGAACGUCGGUUCGAUUCCGACAUCAGGCUCUC
rnacentral:tRNA from 1 species